rnacentral:lncRNA from 1 species
UGACACAGGUUCUUCUUCAAAUUCUCCUCAGCAUCCACUCUUGCUUAUUCCCUUAUUUAUUUGUUCAGCGGACACUGCGUUCCUAUUCUGAGCUCCAAUGGGGGGAGGGGGAGAUCAUGUGCUCACCAGGGAGUAACUGCUCUCCUGGGGUUGUGCCCUGAAGAGUAGGUGAUGGGUCCUUUUUAUCUGAUAACUGGUAUUCUCUGCUGGGGGAUGAAGGAAGGGAAAAAUCAGAAGUAGUUGGUUUUGUGCACUUAAUCCUCUUCCAACAAAAGUCUCAUGUGAAGGGACUGGGUUGGCAGAUGGUUCAGAGAGCACAGCAGAAGAAGUACAAGCAGAGGAAGGUCAGGAGGGGCCGGAAGGGGGAGGCAAACAGCAAAAGGUCUCAGCAUUCCUUCAGCCAUUGUGAUGAGCUUUGGAUGUGAUGCUAAGCAUGGUUGCCAGGGUUACCCAAAGAUUAGAAGUAAGGUGAAGUGUGUCCUCCAGGAGGUGUGCAGCGCCACAUGGAGAAAGAGCAUGAAGAGUUUGGAGAUGCUCCUCAGGAACCGGAUUGGCUGAAGAAACAAGUGGCUUCAGGCAAACCUAGGUGCUUUCCAGCCUGAGUCUUGCCUGCCUUCCAGCCCUGCCUCAUGUCUGCCUUUCAGCUUGUGUCUUGCCUGCCUUCCGGCCUGCUCCACGCCUGCCUUCCAGCCUACAUCUUCAAGCCUGCAUCUUGCCUGUCUUCUUUGGAAGGUUUUCGUCACCGACUCCUCAAUGUCUUCAGGGACACUUAACUGUUUUCCUCCCCUCUUUCACCUUCUCGAAGCUUCUACCUUUUAAAUGAAAUAAGGAAAACCAGAAGCUGAUACUCCCUUGUGACGUGAAAUAAAACUGCAAGCACCAUCUGUGCAGAAGUGGCAAUCCUUCCCGCAAGGACGAGGCUCUCAGCACCCUCUGAGGCCUGUUUCCCACGAGGUCCGAUUUAACGCACCCCAUAGAAGAUGAGGUAAUGAGGCCAUCUAAUGCAAUAGCCUUGGGUAUCUGAAAGCUGUCUGUGUGUAGCUUUCCCUUCAAAGCACCACACAUACACAGCAUCACCAAAGAACUCACAGAAAUGAAGUGUCACUUAAGCUUCAGAGCCUUUCACCUUCAUUGGCUCCUUCUGAAGAGCCUCACCUAAGGGAGUUUCACUCUUCU